AUACGUAGGUGGCAAGCGUUGACCGGAAUUAUUGGGCGUAAAGCGCGCGCAGGUGGUUCCUUAAGUCUGAUGUGAAAGCCCCCGGCUCAACCGGGGAGGGUCAUUGGAAACUGGGGAACUUGAGUGCAGAAGAGGAUAGUGGAAUUCCAAGUGUAGCGGUGAAAUGCGUAGAGAUUUGGAGGAACACCAGUGGCGAAGGCGACUGUCUGGUCUGUAACUGACACUGAGGCGCGAAAGCGUGGGGAGCAAACAGGAUUAGAUACCCUGGUAGUCCACGCCGUAAACGAUGAGUGCUAAGUGUUGGGGGGUUUCCGCCCCUCAGUGCUGCAGCUAACGCAUUAAGCACUCCGCCUGGGGAGUACGGUCGCAAGACUGAAACUCAAAUGAAUUGACGGG
rnacentral:rRNA from 1 species